CUGAUGAAAUCUCUCUAUGUU
rnacentral:miRNA from 1 species